CGCUAGCUACAGGCUUAACACAUGCAAGUCGAGGGGCAGCAUGGUCUUAGCUUGCUAAGGCUGAUGGCGACCGGCGCACGGGUGAGUAACACGUAUCCAACCUGCCGUCUACUCUUGGCCAGCCUUCUGAAAGGAAGAUUAAUCCAGGAUGGCAUCAUGAGUUCACAUGUCCGCAUGAUUAAAGGUAUUUUCCGGUAGACGAUGGGGAUGCGUUCCAUUAGAUAGUAGGCGGGGUAACGGCCCACCUAGUCAACGAUGGAUAGGGGUUCUGAGAGGAAGGUCCCCCACAUUGGAACUGAGACACGGUCCAAACUCCUACGGGAGGCAGCAGUGAGGAAUAUUGGUCAAUGGGCGAUGGCCUGAACCAGCCAAGUAGCGUGAAGGAUGACUGCCCUAUGGGUUGUAAACUUCUUUUAUAAAGGAAUAAAGUCGGGUAUGCAUACCCGUUUGCAUGUACUUUAUGAAUAAGGAUCGGCUAACUCCGUGCCAGCAGCCGCGGUAAUACGGAGGAUCCGAGCGUUAUCCGGAUUUAUUGGGUUUAAAGGGAGCGUAGAUGGAUGUUUAAGUCAGUUGUGAAAGUUUGCGGCUCAACCGUAAAAUUGCAGUUGAUACUGGAUGUCUUGAGUGCAGUUGAGGCAGGCGGAAUUCGUGGUGUAGCGGUGAAAUGCUUAGAUAUCACGAAGAACUCCGAUUGCGAAGGCAGCCUGCUAAGCUGCAACUGACAUUGAGGCUCGAAAGUGUGGGUAUCAAACAGG
rnacentral:rRNA from 1 species